CGCCAGGCGGUAACGGGGAAGGUCCCUUUGCCUCUACGAUUGGGGUGUGAUGCAGGCUUAGAAAAUGCUCAGUUACUCGUCGUCCGCCGUGUGUAGCUGGGGGAGCGUUAACUCUGAGGCCUCAACUCAAACCGAUGGAUUUAAUGUCCCAGUGACAGUGUUGAUCAUGCUUGCAGGAGAGUUGUUGUGAGAGAAGCGUUGUUCGUGGCUGUAUUUUAUGUAUUUUAUUUGCAGUUGUGCUGACUUGUUUCUUUUUGGGGGGAACAGGGUUACAGUUCUAGCUGGAGCAACAAAGUGAUCUACAUGUGCUUCGCUGUCUGUUGGAAGAAUGACAGAUGACAAAGAUGUACUUCGAGAUGUGUGGUUUGGACGAAUACCAACCUGUUUCACUCUGUAUCAGGAUGAGAUAACUGAAAGGGAAGCUGAACCUUACUAUUUGCUUUUGCCAAGGAUAAGCUACUUGACACUGGUAACGGACAAAGUGAAGAAACACUUUCAGAAAGUUAUGAGACAAGAGGAAGUUAGUGAAAUAUGGUUUGAAUAUGAAGGUACACCACUGAAAUGGCAUUACCCAAUUGGUUUACUGUUUGAUCUCCAUGCAUCAAAUACAGCCCUUCCUUGGAGCAUCACAGUGCAUUUCAAGAAUUUUCCAGAAAAGGAUCUUCUACACUGCCAUUCUAAGGAUGUGAUUGAAGCUCAUUUUAUGGCUUGUAUAAAAGAAGCAGAUGCUUUAAAGCACAAAAGUCAAGUCAUCAAUGAGAUGCAAAAAAAGGAUCAUAAGCAACUGUGGAUGGGAUUACAGAAUGAUAAAUUUGAGCAGUUUUGGGCAAUAAAUCGAAAACUCAUGGAGUAUCCUCCAGAAGAUAGUGGAUUUCGAUACAUCCCAUUUAGAAUUUAUCAGGCAACAACAGAGAGACCUUUUAUACAGAAGCUAUUUCGACCAAUUGCUUCAGGAGGACAGUUGCAUACUUUGGGAGAUCUGCUAAAAGAUGUGUGUCCUAGUGCUAUCACCCCUGAAGCUGAUGCCUAUCUGCAAAAGAGAGUCCUUUGCCAAUACUUUCUUUGGCUGGAUCAAGGUGGUUUCCUGAUCAGGAACACUGAGGCACCUUAGAGAUGAUAGAGAAUCAGACCUCUUCUUAAACUCUUCACUUUGGAGCUGCUUCACUCUUCUGACUUCACAUGAUGGAGAGCAGAAGACUCAAGUGAUGAUUCAUGGAAUUGAGCCAAUGCUGGAAACGCCCAUACAGUGGCUAAGCGAACAUAUGAGC